rnacentral:rRNA from 1 species
GAGCGGCGCACGGGUGCGAAUAAUGUGUGCGACUUGCCUUAUAGUGGGAUAGCCUUUCGAAAAGAAUAGCUUACCCAUAUACUAUUUGAUGGAAACAUUAGGGGAUCUUCACUCCGGUGGAUAUAGAUCAGCCUAUACAAGAUUAGAUAGUUGGUGAGGUAACGCUCACCAAGUCAAUGAUCUUUAGUGCCUGAGAGGAGAUCCCCCACACUGGUACUGAGACACGGACCGACUCCUACGGGAGGCAGCAGUGAGGAAUAUUGGACAAUGGGUGAGAGCCUGAUCCAGCCAUCCCGCGUGAAGGAUGACGGCCCUAUGGUUUGAAAGCUUUUUUUGUAUAAAGAUAAACCUACCCUCUAGAAGGUAGCUGAAGGGACUAUACCAGUAAAAUACGGC